CACCUACGGGUGGCUGCAGUAAGGAAUAUUGGACAAUGGGCGAAAGCCUGAUCCAGCCAUGCCGCGUGAAGGAUUAAGGUCCUCUGGAUUGUAAACUUCUUUUAUAUGGGACGAAAAAAGGGCAUUCUUGCUCACUUGACGGUACCAUAUGAAUAAGCACCGGCUAACUCCGUGCCAGCAGCCGCGGUAAUACGGAGGGUGCAAGCGUUAUCCGGAUUCACUGGGUUUAAAGGGUGCGUAGGCGGGUAUGUAAGUCAGUGGUGAAAUCCUGGAGCUUAACUCCAGAACUGCCAUUGAUACUAUAUAUCUUGAAUAUUGUGGAGGUUUGCGGAAUAUGUCAUGUAGCGGUGAAAUGCUUAGAUAUGACAUAGAACACCGAUUGCGAAGGCAGCAGGCUACACAUAUAUUGACGCUGAUGCACGAAAGCGUGGGGAUCAAACAGGAUUAGAUACCCUGGUAGUCCACGCCCUAAACGAUGGAUACUCGACAUACGCGAUACACUGUGUGUGUCUGAGCGAAAGCAUUAA
rnacentral:rRNA from 1 species